UACGAAGGCCCCGAGCGUUAUCCGGAAUUAUUGGGCGUAAAGGGUGCGUAGGUGGUUUUGCGCGUCUGUUGUUAAAUGUCACAGCUCAACUGUGUCACCGCAGUGGAUACGGCAAGACUAGAGGGUGCGAGAGGUCUGUGGAACUCACGGUGUAGGGGUGAAAUCCGUUGAUAUCGUGGGGAACACCAAAGGCGAAGGCAGCAGACUGGCGCAUUUCUGACACUGAGGCACGAAAGCGUGGGGAGCAAAAAGG
rnacentral:rRNA from 1 species